UGAUGAGGCCUCACUAACUAUGGGAGAAAUAAGAUAAAAUAGGAGUCCCCAGCUUCCAGGUCACAGACUGGUACCAGUCAGUGGCCUGUUAGGAACCGGGAUGCACAAGAGGAAGUGAGUGUCAGAUGUCCCCACAAGCAGGCAUUUAAGCAGAAGGUGAAAGUGAGGAAUGCGCUCUCCUGCAGGGGACAAGAAACACUCUCUUGACUUUCUGAAGGACUAAAGCAAAUUGACAGUAGACAGAGUAACACGAAAAAAGGCACACAAAUUUGUGAUAUGCACAGGGCAUCAUGGGAAAAAAAUUGCUUCAGGAAUUCACUCCUUCCUUCUGAGUGGCUUUAGCAUUCAGCAAGAGGAUGGCAUGGUGGCUCAUGUCUGUAAUCCCAGCACUUUGGGAGACCCAGGCAGGAAGAUUUCUUGAGGCCAGGAGUUCAAGACUAACCUAGGCCUUAAAUUCCACAAGCUUACCAUUGACCACCUUUGGGGCUUUCAGAAUCGCAACUCUCAAUGUUGAAGAGCGGGCUACUGCAUGGAAGGUGCUGAUGCUGUUCAGAGGCAGCCAUGGAAGAGGAGAGAGAUCAGAAGAGAAAAGGAUAUUGGUUUGCUGGAAUGUGUGGGACGAGAAUUUCCCAAAAGGAUUUGUGAGCAACUUUCCAACAGUCAAGGCCCUGGCUGGACCUCAGGAUGGUCCCUGGCUCCUGGACAUCAGGAAGCCCCAAGGACAGAACAAGGACAUGCACCCAGUGGGGGAAGUCUCACUAAGAGGGCAAAGAGUGGGGCAAAUACCCCUGGCAACCCAUUUAUAGGGACUGCCACAGAGAUGCCAGUUGGACAUUUUCCUCCUUCAGUCUACCAUGAUUUUUUUUUUUGAGUUGGAGCCUCGAUCUGUUGCCCAGUCUGGAGUGCAGUGGCACAAUCUCAGCUCACUGCAAGCUCUGUCUCCCAGAUUCAAGCGAUUCUCUUGUCUCAGCCUCCCAAGUAGCUGAGAUUACUGGCACACACCACCAUGCCUGGUUAAUUUUUGUAUUUUUAGUAAAAAUGGGGUUUCACCAUGUUAGCCAGACUGGUCUUGAACUCCUCACCUCAGGGUGAUCCACCCAUCUCGGCCUCCCAAAGUACUGGGAUUACAGGUUUGAGCCACCACAGCCAGCUAUACUGUGAUGAUUAGUUCAAGGUUUUUGUUCACUGGGGUAAACACCUUGACAGAGCAGUUUCUUGGCUACAUAGUCCCAAUUUCCUGCACAGUGCCUAGCAUGUAGCAAGGACUCAACACAUUUCAUUGAAUGAAUGAAAAAACAUAGUUUACCAAA